UCGAUUUGGCGCUACCUGCACUCACAAGGAGCUCCAUAGAGCAACUAGUUAGAGGGUACCCUCUAGGCGGGGCUUCGCAGAAGUCACUCGUGGAGCAGUUCAACACUCAAAGUGGUGCAACCAGCUUCGCCACAUGUUGUGAGCUGGACGCAUCCCUUAUUAGGACAUUUUCUUCUCUUUUUUUUUUGUUUUUGUCUCAAUUUUCAGUUUUGGGUUUUGUUUCCUCUGUUUUUUUAUUUUGAUUUUCGUUUGUUGGGAGCGUCGGUGUGUUUUGCUCCCGUGCGAGGACAUGUGAGCUUCUACAUGAAGCACAUGUGCGCUUCAAGCAGAAGCACUAGUGUGUUGUGCUUCCUCGUGAACACAGAUAUGCUUCAAGCAGAAGCAUAGUUGUGUUUCGCCUCGCGUUGGGAGCACAUGUUAGUUUACUUGGAAGCACCAUUCUGCUUCUGCGGGAAGAACAUGUGUGCUUCCUCGCUGGAGGACAAUUGUGCUUCAUCCCGCUGGAGCAUAAGUCAGGAGCGUGAGUUAGUACAACUAGAUGAUACCCCGCGCGUUGUUUCGAAAAUUUAUUACAUAUUUUUCGAGUAACAUGCUAGUCAAUAAGAUGAUAAUAAUUGGAUAUAAAAUUACAAUACCUCAACAUUACUGCAGAAAUUUGUAUGAAUUAAUUGUACCAAAAAUGACGUUAGGAUGUUGUGGAAUUUUCCUAAAGAUCCCACAUGUGUGGCAAUGACUGCGACCAAGAAUCGGCGACAAUAUGCAUGUUUUAAGCAUCUGCAGCAGCCAGCAGAAGGCAUAAUAAAGUAGAACAAAGUAUAUCAUAGAAAAGAAAGAUGCCAGCAGAAGGCAUAAUAAAGUAGAACAAAGUAUAUCAUAGAAAAGAAAGAUAAAGGGCAUAAAUAUGAUUUCUUGUUUCAAACUCCAAGAAGCUUUUAGUCAGUUUUAUACAUGUAACUAAGAAAAUAGUAGUAAAAAUGAAAAUUGGUUGUCAACCUAAAUGCCAGUAGAAGGACCCUUCCUCCUCGACAACACAGAUUCUAAAUUGGAUCGUAAGUGUGUCUGUCUCUGUGACUAUGUCAACAUGCCCUUCAUGCCAAAAUAAAUCCCACAAUGCCAUUGAUUUCAAAGAUAGUCCCUGAUAGAUGGGAACGACAAAAGCUUACGAUUAUGGAUAAAUGUCAAAUUUGGUGCUUGCAAAGAUUAUCUAAAUUAUUCCUUUGACUGUUGAGUUAGUGAACAUCAUGUUAAGAGGUGUAGGUCUGAUUGGUACCAAGAACGUGAUGCUCAUAUGAGUUGUAGAUAAAUCAAUAGAUAUCAUGCAUACCGCGGGACUAAAGAUUUUAGGUGGCUUCAAGAACCUAACUAACUCUGUUAAGUUGCAUAUGCCUACCGUAGUUCUUAGCAGCUGCACUGGGACUGGUCAAGGGGACUGGUCGAAUAGCACGACCCUAUGAAGAACUUUAUGGGAUAUCCAAUUUGUGCAGUCUUAAGAACAGAGGGCCUCAAUACAAAUAUUUAUUAGAAACCUGUAAUCAACUAAUGGAAUAAUGGUCGCUUUGUUUUGUUCGGCGUGCCAAUCAAACAUAACACUGUUGGAACAAACUGGCUUAUACAAUCGAUCUAGCUAAUAAUGUGCAGAUAUAUUAAGUAUGGGAAAAAUGCUAACACACACCUACUGUCUCAUGACAGAAACAUGGACCCAUCUCUGAACAUGUUCAAGGAAGGCAAGACAAACAUAUUCAACAGGCCAAGUGCAUGAUAUAGUAAAUAAGCAACAGAGUAGAGGAAGUGUGAGAAUGGAGAGAUCAGGAACAUGGUACGUGUUGCAGCGGAACUAUGUUACAAUUUUUUUAAUAUUAAGAGAUAAAACAUAGAAACACUUUGUGCAUGCAAAUGAAGUGGGCUUAACUACCAUGUUGUAAGAGACAUCUCAUUGGUAAAUCUCGUGGUUAGUAAUAUAGAUUCAUGACUGAGUGUGGUGAGAAGCAUGAUUCACAUACUGGUUGACAAAACACAACAAAUUUACUCACAAACUGCUAGUAUUCUGAAACUAACCAAACGAUUUUGUCCAAAAAGGAAAUUGUACUGCAACGAACCUCUGAAUAAUCAAUACGCAUACUUGGAGUUUUACCAAAGCUAUCAACUUGUUGAUGGGACUACGCAGACUUAGACAAUGGGAGUUCUGGCGAGUUCAGUAUAAACCUGCACAGUUACAUGAAAGAAAAAGAAUAAGCCAUGCCGUCAAUUAUUUAAUUAAUGGGAUUCAUGGCCACGCCAUGAGGAGAUAAUCUGGAUUAGUGCUACUAUGAGCUUAGAGCAUCAGGCGCGGUGGUGAUUGCCGCAUCAGGCGCGUCCGAGGCCGCCGCCACAACGAGGGCUCAGAGCACAGCAACGACAUGAGGGAGCUCCUCCUCGAUCACGCUAGAACUGGGCUGCGCCGGGGAUGGCUGUGUCUGAUGCAUCUGAGGCGGCCGGCGCUAGGACGGUCCGCACCAGAGCAAGGACAUGAGGGAGCUUCGAGGAGAGUCUGACCAUAAGCGUGGGGAGACCGUGAGGUACUUGCCGAGGGUGGCCCGGGCCGAUCCCGGCGCGGCUGCAUCCUCCGCAAGGCGCUGUUCUUCCAUGGCGGGGCACCUACGAAUCUACGAUUUGGGAAGCCGAAGGCAGGGCAGGGACUGCCACCGGGGUACCUCAUCGCAGAGGAUGAACGCCUCUUACCAUCGCUCACUGCCACACCCUGCCAAAUUGCGCGCAUGUGAGCGAACAUAAAUACCAGAUGGAAUAGCAACUUAAUCGCCAGAGUAGUGGGAUUUGAUAGAGGGAGAAGAAAACCUAUCCGUCUCGGUUUCAAAAAUAAUACAGUGGGAUUUGAUGAAGGUUGGAGAAGACGAAGAGGAAGUUGAAUCUGUUUCGUUGGAAAGAUGAGCGGGU
rnacentral:lncRNA from 1 species